rnacentral:rRNA from 1 species
ACACUCCUACGGGAGGCAGCAGUGGGGAAUAUUGGACAAUGGGCGCAAGCCUGAUCCAGCCAUGCCGCGUGAGUGAUGAAGGCCCUAGGGUUGUAAAGCUCUUUCACCGGUGAAGAUAAUGACGGUAACCGGAGAAGAAGCCCCGACUAACUUCGUGCCAGCAGCCGCGGUAAUACGAAGGGGGCUAGCGUUGUUCGGAUUUACUGGGCGUAAAGCGCACGUAGGCGGACUAUUAAGUCAGGGGUGAAAUCCCGGGGCUCAACCCCGGAACUGCCUUUGAUACUGGUAGUCUUGAGUUCGAGAGAGGUGAGUGGAAUUCCGAGUGUAGAGGUGAAAUUCGUAGAUAUUCGGAGGAACACCAGUGGCGAAGGCGGCUCACUGGCUCGAUACUGACGCUGAGGUGCGAAAGCGUGGGGAGCAAACAGGAUUAGAUACCCCUGUAGUCCCAUGAU